GCCGAGCAGCGCGGGGCGGCGAGAUGGCGGACAAAGAGAAGAAGAAGAAAGAGAGCAUUUUGGACUUGUCCAAGUACAUUGACAAGACAAUCAGGGUGAAGUUCCAGGGAGGCCGGGAAGCCAGUGGAAUCCUGAAGGGGUUCGACCCACUGCUCAACCUUGUGCUGGACGGGACCAUUGAGUACAUGCGAGAUCCUGAUGACCAGUACAAGCUCACAGAGGACACGCGCCAGCUGGGUCUUGUGGUGUGCCGCGGCACGUCGGUGGUGCUCAUCUGCCCGCAGGACGGCAUGGAGGCCAUUCCCAACCCCUUCAUCCAGCAGCAGGACGCCUAGCCACCUCAGGGACCCCAUGGGACUGGGCAGGGCCAAGCAGCCAGUUCCCUUGGACUCAGAGUCACUCCUCCCUUGUGAGGAGCUGCCACUAGCAUGGAGGGGACUUCUUUUUGUGUAGGUUGGAUUUUUGUUUGUUUUCUUAAUAAAAUUGCAAACCUCAAGUGUCCAGGCCCCAGAAUCUUGCCUUUUUUAGCCUUGGUCUUGGGAAAAGUGGGAUCCUGCCUAACCCUAGCUUUUUUUUGUUUUGUUUUGUUUUGUUUUUGCGGUACUGGGGUUUGAACUCGGGGCCUACACCUUAAGCCACUCCACCAGCCCUUUUUUUUGUUAUGGGUUUUUUUCAAGAUUCAGUCUCACGGAGCUCUGGGCUAGCACAGUGCUCCUCAUACUGUUUCCUUCAGACCCCUGACCUGCCUUGCCCAGGUCAACCUCAGAGGCCAAGGCCAGGGACAAUCCAGGGGUCCCCAUGUCUGGUGGGAGACAGCAGUGAGCCCUAAGGGCAGCCAGACCUUGUCAGAGCUCCAGAGGGAGCAGGGAGACAACAGCAGAAGGAAGUCUGGCUGCCGACCCCUAGCUCCUGCUGCUAUGUGAAUGAGAUUUGUCCCUGGCACCCCUCAGGACAGCACCCCCCGACACUCCACCCAAAUCCCAGCACUGGAUGGGGACAAAUGGUGACCUGUGCAGCCACUGACUCCUGGCCUCAGCUUUCUUCACACCACUGGCUGUGUAGCUCAGGGUCCCUUCCUGCCUGAGACAGCGAAAGGGAGACCUUGGCCCAGCCCUGGAGCAUCCUCGGGAGAACCCGGACAAAGCUGUGUAGUCUGCACAAGGGAGCCCAGCACCUGCCUCCCCUGUUGGUCUAGGAGCUUCCCGAGCGAAGGGUGGGGGCCUGGGUCUGUCACUCAAUAAAUGUUUGCUGGUGAGUAAGUGACUCAGGCCCUUCCAACUCUGUUCUCAUACUUUCUACUUUCAUUCAGGACCCGCUCUCUACCCCCACUGCCACCUUGUCCCUGAUGGGGCUGACCCAAGCCAGCAGGGCUCAGGACUCCCCAGGAGUAAAGGCUCUAUGGCCACCAGGUUUCCCAUUCCAGGCAGAAGACAAGGCAACUGUGAGCCCAGGAGGUAAAGGUACGAAGACAGAGCCAUUCAAGACAGUCUAAGGAUGAAACUUGAAGCAGCCAUGACCUUGGGUUCCACCCUUUUUGCUGAAAAUGCUUCUGAGGUCAAUUUCUUUCCCGGUCUCUCCCCAGCACCAGAUUCACACACAUUUGGGUACGUCAGAGGCACCCCCAAAUUAACAGACU